CAGUAGCCGCGGGAAUACGAAGGGUGCAAGCGUUACUCGGAAUUACUGGGCGUAAAGCGUGUGUAGGUGGUUGUUUAAGUCUGUCGUGAAAGCCCUGGGCUCAGCCUGGGAAUUGCGAUGGAUACUGGGCGACUAGAGUGCGGUAGAGGAUAGUGGAAUUUCCGGUGUAGCAGUGAAAUGCGUAGAGAUCGGAAGGAACAUCUGUGGCGAAGGCGACUAUCUGGGCCAACACUGACACUGAGACACGAAAGCGUGGGGAGCAAACAGGAUUAGAUACCCCCGUAGUCCCUGUCUCUUAUAC
rnacentral:rRNA from 1 species